CGUGAGUAACCUGCCCCCGACUCUGGGAUAAGCCCGGGAAACUGGGUCUAAUACCGGAUAUGACCUCUCACCGCAUGGUGGGUGGUGGAAAGAUUUAUCGGUGGGGGAUGGACUCGCGGCCUAUCAGCUUGUUGGUGAGGUAAUGGCUCACCAAGGCGACGACGGGUAGCCGGCCUGAGAGGGUGACCGGCCACACUGGGACUGAGACACGGCCCAGACUCCUACGGGAGGCAGCAGUGGGGAAUAUUGCACAAUGGGCGAAAGCCUGAUGCAGCGACGCCGCGUGAGGGAUGACGGCCUUCGGGUUGUAAACCUCUUUCAGUAGGGAAGAAGCGAAAGUGACGGUACCUGCAGAAGAAGCGCCGGCUAACUACGUGCCAGCAGCCGCGGUAAUACGUAGGGCGCAAGCGUUAUCCGGAUUUAUUGGGCGUAAAGAGCUCGUAGGCGGUUUGUCGCGUCUGCCGUGAAAGUCCGAGGCUCAACCUCGGAUCUGCGGUGGGUACGGGCAGACUAGAGUGAUGUAGGGGAGACUGGAAUUCCUGGUGUAGCGGUGAAAUGCGCAGAUAUCAGGAGGAACACCGAUGGCGAAGGCAGGUCUCUGGGCAUUUACUGACGCUGAGGAGCGAAAGCAUGGGGAGCGAACAGGAUUAGAUACCCUGGUAGUCCAUGCCGUAAACGUUGGGCACUAGGUGUGGGGGACAUUCCACGUUUUCCGCGCCGUAGCUAACGCAUUAAGUGCCCCGCCUGGGGAGUACGGCCGCAAGGCUAAAACUCAAAGGAAUUGACGGGGGCCCGCACAAGCGGCGGAGCAUGCGGAUUAAUUCGAUGCAACGCGAAGAACCUUACCAAGGCUUGACAUGUGCCAGACCGCCUCAGAGAUGGGGUUUCCCUUCGGGGCUGGUUCACAGGUGGUGCAUGGUUGUCGUCAGCUCGUGUCGUGAGAUGUUGGGUUAAGUCCCGCAACGAGCGCAACCCUCGUUCCAUGUUGCCAGCACGUAGUGGUGGGGACUCAUGGGAGACUGCCGGGGUCAACUCGGAGGAAGGUGGGGAUGACGUCAAAUCAUCAUGCCCCUUAUGUCUUGGGCUUCACGCAUGCUACAAUGGCCGGUACAAUGGGUUGCGAUACUGUGAGGUGGAGCUAAUCCCUAAAAGCCGGUCUCAGUUCGGAUUGGGGUCUGCAACUCGACCCCAUGAAGUCGGAGUCGCUAGUAAUCGCAGAUCAGCAACGCUGCGGUGAAUACGUUCCCGGGCCUUGUACACACCGCCCGUCAAGUCACGAAAGUUGGUAACACCCGAAGCCGAUGGCCUAACCACC
rnacentral:rRNA from 1 species